CUUGGCUAUGUUCUGCAAUUUCCUCUCGAGGCACCUAAGCACUAACACUGUGCACACGUAUCUUCAACUGGCGAGUCUAAGAACAAAGUCCCAGUGGGGCAUCCCAGUUUACGCAGCGAGAUGCCCCACAAUACGACCCAGCAAUCUUUAUUACUUGCGGUCUUCCACCGUCGGGAAUUUGUUAUGCAUCCAAUUACUCAACAGGGAGUAAGAGUGCCCGUUGCUUAAAGGCUGAGAGACUCAGGGCAAGUGGUGUUGCUGAUCCAUGGUGACAGCGUCGAUAAGGUUGCAGAAGGGUUGCGUUGCGUCGCAAAAUCUUCGCGUCAUAUUACCAUGGUAUAAUAGUUUAGAGGUACGUCUACUCCUAUCCGGCCAAAGUGUCGUCGUUUUCAGAACGUAGGUGGCAGCACUUGUUCAUUGAAGUCGAACUUACAUGGAAGGUAUAGGGAAAAGUGGGGUUUUUCGCAUUUUUGGGGAAUAUGUAAUUAAGUUAUAGCCUUCAAAUAUUUUUAUUUUUAUAGAAAAAAAAAUUAGAAGUGCUGUCCAUUUUGCCAAAAUGUCUUAAUCCUACAGGGGAAAAUUCUAGAAUUUUUUUGAAAAGGCUAGAAAGGGAAGGAAAUUUGGCGCUUUGCCAUAAAAAAGAAUGCUGUUUAGCAGGGUUUAUUUUUACUUGUCAAGUUUUUUCGCGUCACUGGGGUGUUUUUUUGAAUUCUCUCGUCUAAAAAGAAGGAUUUAGGUAAUUUAAUUUCCAAUAAUUAUAUUCCUUUUUAAAAUUGUGGCACCCCUUUGAACCUUUAUAGAUUUUACACAAUGCCAAAUAGGUGUUGUGUCCCUAAUUGCAACUCAGGCUACCCUGACAGAAAUCCCGAAAAGUAACUUGUUUCAAGACUAAAGACUGCUAGAGCAAAGGCUGUAAGAACAUCCACACGCAAAUCGACAAUUCUGAAGAGGGUGAAAUACGAGCUUACUGAGCUGCGCACUAAACUGUCAGUGACAUCAGAGGAUAUGUUCCAUGAAUACCUCAACACUCUUCCACCACAGGUUCCGACUUAGAUAAUUUAUUAUAUUUUUCGUAUGCAUGCAAAUAUCAUUUUUUCUUAUCGUGAGGUAGAUACUUUUUUCUGAUAUUGACAUUGACUGAUAUUUACUAUAUGUACCGCUUGUUAAACACUUUCAUUAGAAUAACUCAAUUUAGCUUUCAUAUUUUCCUAUUUUGAUUGCAUGCAUACGCUUUCCUUAUUGGAAGUUUUUGUUUUUAUAAUGAAGUAAUAAAUAAACCGUGACAUUGUGUUUA